CGUAGGUGGCAAGCGUUGUCCGGAUUUAUUGGGUUUAAAGGGUGCGUAGGCGGUUCUGUAAGUCAGUGGUGAAAUCCGGCAGCUCAACUGUCGAUGUGCCAUUGAUACUGCAGAACUUGAGUACAGACGAGGUAGGCGGAAUUGACGGUGUAGCGGUGAAAUGCUUAGAUAUCGUCAAGAACACCGAUAGCGAAGGCAGCUUACUAGACUGUAACUGACGCUGAUGCACGAAAGUGUGGGGAUCAAACAGGAUUAGAUACCCUGGUAGUCCACACCGUAAACGAUGAUUACUCGAUGUUAGCGAUACACAGUUAGCGUCUUAGCGAAAGCGAUAAGUAAUCCACCUGGGGAGUACGCCGGCAACGGUG
rnacentral:rRNA from 1 species